rnacentral:rRNA from 1 species
UACGAAGGGGGCUAGCGUUGCUCGGAAUCACUGGGCGUAAAGCGCACGUAGGCGGAUUGCUAAGUCAGGGGUGAAAUCCUGGAGCUCAACUCCAGAACUGCCCUUGAUACUGGCGGUCUCGAGUCCGGGAGAGAUGAGUGGAACUGCGAGUGUAGAGGUGAAAUUCGUAGAUAUUCGCAAGAACACCAGUGGCGAAGGCGGCUCACUGGCCCGGUACUGACGCUGAGGUGCGAAAGCGUGGGGAGCAAACAGG